rnacentral:rRNA from 1 species
GAGGCCUAACACAUGCAAGCCGAGCGGUAGAGAUUCUUCGGAAUCUUGAGAGCGGCGCACGGGUGCGGAACACGUGUGCAACCUACCUUUAUCAGGGGGAUAGCCUUUCGAAAGGAAGAUUAAUACCCCAUAAUAUAUUUGAUGGCAUCAUUAGAUAUUGAAAACUCCGGUGGAUAGAGAUGGGCACGCGCAAGAUUAGAUAGUUGGUGAGGUAACGGCUCACCAAGUCAAUGAUCUUUAGGGGGCCUGAGAGGGUGAUCCCCCACACUGGUACUGAGACACGGACCAGACUCCUACGGGAGGCAGCAGUGAGGAAUAUUGGACAAUGGGUGAGAGCCUGAUCCAGCCAUCCCGCGUGAAGGACGACGGCCCUAUGGGUUGUAAACUUCUUUUAUACUGGGAUAAACCUACUCUCGUGAGAGUAGCUGAAGGUACAGUAUGAAUAAGCACCGGCUAACUCCGUGCCAGCAGCCGCGGUAAUACGGNAGGGUGCAAGCGUUAUCCGGAUUUAUUGGGUUUAAAGGGUCCGUAGGCGGACUCGUAAGUCAGUGGUGAAAUCUCAUAGCUUAACUAUGAAACUGCCAUUGAUACUGCGGGUCUUGAGUAAAGUAGAAGUGGCUGGAAUAAGUAGUGUAGCGGUGAAAUGCAUAGAUAUUACUUAGAACACCAAUUGCGAAGGCAGGUCACUAUGUUUUAACUGACGCUGAUGGACGAAAGCGUGGGGAGCGAACAGGAUUAGAUACCCUGGUAGUCCACGCCGUAAACGAUGCUAACUCGUUUUU